GAUGCCCCAGUCAGAGAUACCUUGAGCUGAAAUCGUAGACAAAACAUAACACAAUUUCAGUGUCAGUGGCUGAGACAAGAUCUUAUCGGUCUCUCAUGCGGCCUACUUCAAAUAAGAGUCAAGGACAGCCUCUUAGCAAAUGUGAUUUGGCCCAAGAACAAACAUGGAAUCUGCUUGCUGGUGAUCAGUUACAGAGUUAAACUCUACACCACCGCUCUGGCACCACUAAAGGCCCCUGGCUGCAUCCUCCCCCUGCUGUGACCUCAGGAUAAGGGAAAACAACUCCUCUCCUGCUAUUGUUCUCACACCAUGGGGUGGCUCCUGCUGGAUCCUGGACAAGACUUUGUCUCUGCACAGGACAGAGAGCUACAGACACACAGAUGGAAAUGGCAGCGGAUUUAUGUAAGAUGUGAGAAAUAGAUACGGCAUCACAGCUAAGAGGUUUUAGUAACUUAGCACUUCCUUCCUUAUGUGUACCAUGAGUCUAUGUUGUUUGAUAUUUAUAAUUAUAUUUCACAUUUUUGUUAUUGGCUACUCCAAUGAAAACAGGAACUGACUUCAUCCAUCACAAGA